rnacentral:rRNA from 1 species
UAGAUAUAGGCAAAUCCGUAUCUGAGCUGAGACCUGAUAGUACACAAGUCCCUUGGGAUGAGUGAUAGUGACUGUAAGCAUACUUCCAAGAAAAACCUCUAAACUUCAGGCUGACACAUCCCGUACCGUAAACCGACACAGGUAGUCGAGGAGAGUAUCCUAAGGCGCUCGAGUGAUCCGUGGCUAAGGAACUAGGCAAAAUGGUCUCGUAACUUCGGGAGAAGAGACUCCCCUCGUGAGAGGGGACGCAGUGAAGAGGCCCAGGCGACUGUUUAACAAAAACACAGGACUCUGCAAAAUCGUAAGAUGAAGUAUAGGGUCUGACACCUGCCCGGUGCUGGAAGGUUAAGGAAGGGGGUUAGUGCGUAAGUGCGAAGCUCUUAACUGAGGCCCCAGUAAACGGCGGCCGUAACGAUAACGGUCCUAAGGUAGCGAAAUUCCUUGUCGAGUAAGUUCCGACCUGCACGAAUGGUGUAACGAUCUGGGCGCUGUCUCAGCCACGAGCUCGGUGAAAUUGAAGUAUUGGUGAAGAUGCCGAUUACCCGCAACGGGACAGAAAGACCCCGUGAACCUUUACUACAACUUCACAUUGAGCUUGAAUACAGGAUGUGUAGGAUAGGUGGGAGGCUACGAAGCUGUGACGCUAGUCAUGGUGGAGCCAACGUUGAAAUACCACCCUUCCUGUAUUUAGGUUCUAAUCCCUAAAAGGGAAACAGUGUGUGGUGGGUAGUUUGACUGGGGUGGUCGCCUCCAAAAAAGUAACGGAGGCUCGCAAAGGUACACUCAGCAUGGUCGGUAAUCAUGCGAAGAGCGUAUUAGUAUAAGUGUGCUUGACUGAGAGACCGACGGGUCGAUCAGGAACGAAAGUUGGCUAAAGUGAUCCGGUGUUUCCGCAUGGAAGGGACAUCGCUCAAAGGAUAAAAGGUACUCCGGAUAACAGGCUGAUCCUACCCAAGAGCUCAUAUCGACGGUAGGGUUUGGCACCUCGAUGUCGGCUCGUCACAUCCUGGGGCUGGAGAAGGUCCCAAGGGUUGGGCUGUUCGCCCAUUAAAGUGGCACGCGAGCUGGGUUCAGAACGUCGCAAGACAGUUCGGUCCCUAUCUGUUGUGGGCGCAGGAAUAUUGAAGGGAGCUGAUUCUAGUACGAGAGGACCGAAUUGGACGUACCGCUAGUGUACCGGUUGUGGCGCCAGCUGCACCGCCGGGUAGCUAUGUACGGCAAGGAUAAGCGCUGAAAGCAUCUAAGCGCGAAGCCAUCCCUAAG